UUCUUCAUCUAUGGAUUACUGCUUGCUGAGUUAAUUUUCUAUUCAUGUGUUCUCAGCUGAUUGUAAUUUGAAUUACUCUGGAGUUGAAUGGUAUGGAAUGGAAUAACUAGCAAUCUGAAAAGACCUGCAGGGGUUCACAUGUUAUUUGGCAAGGUGAAAAUUGUUCUUAAUUCCUUUUACUUACCGUGAUGUUCCAAACCCCCACAUAAUUAAUUCUGCUCUGCUCCAUUAGGUGGGAUGCUCUGCCAUUAAUCUAAUAGGUAAUUGGAGCUCCUUCAUGAUGUUGAAACUGUGGAAGGAGAUGAGAUUUGUCCCAGUUAUUCUCUACGUCGGAAUCUGAAAUGGCCUCAUGUAUAGUUGUAGCCUUGUUCCAGAAAGGGAGAGACUGUCAUCUCUCUGUGCUAGGCAUAAAGGAAGAAAUAGAAUGUAAUGCUGGGAGGUCUUUUUAUUUUGUAAUUGCUAUUUGAGGUUCAUAAAUACAUGCUUUAUGUUCUGUGCACUGUGAUUCAAUUGUUAAAUACAGUGCGUGAUUCUGCUUAUCUUCAAGAGCGAGUGCUCUACAAUUACUAAAGGGGCAACAGUUCAACUAGGGAGUUUGUUGCUUUUUGAAAGGUGAUUUUAUGUUAUUGCUUUUACUUUUCUGAAA